rnacentral:rRNA from 1 species
AGGACGAACGCUGGCGGCGUGCCUAACACAUGCAAGUCGAACGAGGUCCAACCGGUAGCAAUACCGGUGAAGAUCAAGUGGCGAACGGGUGAGUAGCACGUGAGCAACCUGCCCCGAAGACCGGGACAACACCGGGAAACCGGUGCUAAUACCGGAUAUCCCCACUGAGUCGCAUGGCUCGGUGAGGAAAUGGAUUCCGCUUCGGGAGGGGCUCGCGGCCUAUCAGCUUGUUGGUGAGGUAACGGCUCACCAAGGCUUCGACGGGUAGCUGGUCUGAGAGGACGAUCAGCCACACUGGGACUGAGACACGGCCCAGACUCCUACGGGAGGCAGCAGUGGGGAAUCUUGCACAAUGGGCGCAAGCCUGAUGCAGCAACGCCGCGUGAGGGACGAAGGCUUUCUGAGUUGUAAACCUCUUUCAGUCAGGGACGAUUGUGACGGUACCUGCAGAAGAACGCCCCGGACAACUACGUGCCAGCAGCCGCGGUAAU